rnacentral:rRNA from 1 species
UACGUAGGCAGCAAGCGUUGUUCGGAGUUACUGGGCGUAAAGGGUGAGUAGGCGGUUUAUCAAGUCACAUGUGAAAUCCCGAGGCUUAACCACGGGACUGCAUGAGAAACUGAAAGACUGGAGUACAGGAGAGGUAGGCGGAAUUCCUAGUGUAGCGGUGAAAUGCGUAGAUAUUAGGAAGAACACCAGUGGCGAAGGCGGCCUACUGGACUGUAACUGACGCUGAGUCACGAAAGCGUGGGGAGCGAACAGG